rnacentral:piRNA from 1 species
UGAGAUGUUCUCAGCUUGGAAUCCCGUGG